UAACUUAAAAGGCAAACUAGUUGAAAGAUUAGGACGCAAAACUAGAGGUCUAAGGGAAAUUAAUUCUAUGAUAGCUCGGUUGCCGUU
rnacentral:ncRNA from 1 species